CAAUAGCGUAUAUUAAAGUUGUUGCGGUAAAAAAGCUCGUAGUUGGAUUUCUACCGAAGAUAGCCGGUCGGGUCUUCGACCUUGUAUCUGGUUUUGUCUUUGGUCUCCUCAUAGGGAACGUUUCUGCGCUUUAUUGCGUGGUGCGGUAUCUAUGACUUUUACUUUGAGGAAAUUAGAGUGUUCACGGCAGGCAAACGCCUUGAAUAUAUUAGCAUGGAAUAAUAACAUAGGAUCUUCGUCCUAUUUUGUUGGUUUCUAGGGCUAAGAUAAUGAUUAAUAGGGAUAAUUGGGGGCAUCUGUAUCAACGCGUCAGAGGUGGAAUUCUUGGAUUGCGUUGCGACAAACUACUGCGAAAGCAUUUGCCAAGGAUGUUUUCAUUGA
rnacentral:rRNA from 1 species